rnacentral:rRNA from 1 species
GGACUACCGGGGUAUCUAAUCCUGUUCGCUCCCCACGCUUUCGCGCCUCAGCGUCAGUAUUAUGCCAGGUGGCUGCCUUCGCCAUCGACGUUCCUUCCGAUCUCUACGCAUUUCACCGCUACACCGGAAAUUCCGCCACCCUCUCAUAUACUCUAGCAAUACAGUUUGCGAUGCUCUUCCCAGGUUAAGCCCGGGGCUUUCACAUCACACACAUAUCACCGCCUACGCGCCCUUUACGCCCAGUAAUUCCGAUUAACGCUCGCACCCUCUGUAUUACCGCGGCUGCUGGCAC